rnacentral:rRNA from 1 species
UUACACGUGCAAGUCGAGCGGUAACAUUUCUAGCUUGCUAGAAGAUGACGAGCGGCGGACGGGUGAGUAACGCGUAGGAAUCUGCCUAGUAGUGGGGGACAACAUGUGGAAACGCAUGCUAAUACCGCAUACGCCCUACGGGGGAAAGGAGGGGAUCUUCGGACCUUUCGCUAUUAGAUGAGCCUGCGUGAGAUUAGCUAGUUGGUGGGGUAAAGGCCUACCAAGGCGACGAUCUCUAGCUGGUCUGAGAGGAUGAUCAGCCACACUGGGACUGAGACACGGCCCAGACUCCUACGGGAGGCAGCAGUGGGGAAUAUUGGACAAUGGGCGCAAGCCUGAUCCAGCCAUGCCGCGUGUGUGAAGAAGGCCUUAGGGUUGUAAGGCACUUUCUGGAGUGAGGAAGGGCGUAUAGUUAAUACCUGUAUGUUUUGACGUUAACUCCAGAAGAAGCACCGGCUAACUCUGCGCCAACAGCCGCGGUAAUACAGAGGGUGCGAGCGUUAAUCGGAAUUACUGGGCGUAAAGCGCGCGUANGCGGUUUGUUAAGUCGGAUGUGAAAUCCCAGGGCUCA